rnacentral:rRNA from 25 species
AAACGACUCUCGGCAACGGAUAUCUCGGCUCUUGCAUCGAUGAAGAACGUAGCGAAAUGCGAUACUUGGUGUGAAUUGCAGAAUCCCGUGAACCAUCGAGUCUUUGAACGCAAGUUGCGCCUGAAGCCAUUAGGUUGAAGGCACGCCUGCCUGGGCGUCACGC